UACGAAGGGUGCGAGCGUUGUUCGGAAUUACUGGGCGUAAAGGGUUUGUAGGCUGAAAUGUAAGUCAAGUGUGAAAUCCCCGAGCUAAACUUGGGACGUGCAUUUGAAACUGUGUUUCUUGAGUAUCGUAGAGGGUGGUGGAAUUGUAGGUGUAGGAGUGACAUCCGUAGAGAUCUGCAGGAACAUCAGAGGCGAAGGCGACCACCUGGCCGAUGACUGACGCUGAGGAACGAAAGCGUGAGGAGCAAACAGG
rnacentral:rRNA from 1 species